ensembl:misc_RNA Metazoa_SRP Metazoan signal recognition particle RNA
GCCAGGUGUGGUGGCGUGCGCCUGUAAUCCCAGCUACUUGGGAGGCUGAGGCAGGAUAAUUGCUUUAACCCGGGAGGCAGAGGGUGCAGUGAGCUGAGAUCACACCAUUGCACUCUAGCCUGGGCGACACAGCGAGACUCUGUCUCAA